AAACUUUUAUCUUCUUGGGGCUUUGUAACUUAAUGACUUCCAGAGGGUGGCUCGGUGUCCUCUUUUAACCCUUCACCACGAGAAACAUAUCUUUUUCAGAGGCCCAGGGCUCUAUCUUGCUGAAUGAAACUCUGAAGAUAAUGUGGUUCUGUCUUUUGUUGCCGGAAUGGCAAGGGUUGAAGAGCUUUCAGCUUUCAAUCUAGUUAAAACGUAUGUAAAUGGCAAAUUAUUUUUAAACUGGCUUUAAUGUGAAUUCUGGGGGUAUACAGAAUGACUCCACAGAUGAUAUUUAUAUGAGAUGAAUAAGGACAACUCUUUUGGAAAAACAUUGCUUUGAGAGGGUCCCAGAACCACAGCUGCUGAUGGCAAUGAGUGACAUCAGUGGACAAGACCACCUGAAGACAUGAAUGUCAGCUGCAGCAGUAACAAGAAUGGAGAUGUGACAGGCACUUGGUAGUUUUACCCAGAAAUCCUAUGUCAUCAGGUGUUCAAGAAAAGAUAUCAUGGAUAUUUUAUAGAAAUAGUAAAAAUAAUUCUAAAAUGUAUUUAGAACUGCAAAAGACCCCAAGCUGCCAAAGUAAUUUUUAGCAAGAAGAACAAAGCUGAAAUCACCACACUUCUGAAUUUCAAACUAUAUUACAAAGCAAUAGUAAGCAAAAUAAUAUGGUACUGGCAUAGAAACAGGCAUAUAGACCAAUGAAACAGAAUAGAGAGCCCUGAAAUAAACCACAUGUAUAUCAUCAAUCAGUCUUCAACAAAAGCAGCAGGAAUGUACAAUGAGAAAAGAACAUUAUCUUUAAUAAAUGGUGUUGAGAAAAUGGAAUAUCUACAUGCAAAAGAGUGAAACUGGAUUCUUUACAACAUAAACAAAAAUCAACUCGAAAUGAAUUAAAAACUUGAACUUAAGACCUGAAACUGUAAACCUCUGGAAAAAUGCUGUUUGACAUUGGUCUUGGCAAUAAUUUUUCAGAUAUGACACCAAAAACACAGGCAACAAAAGCAAAAAUAAAAU
ensembl:lncRNA